AUCUGAUACGUAACUCCAAAGAGGUUGUGACCCACAGGCUGAGAAUGCUGCUCUAGAGCCUCAUGAGGGUUUAGAGGUAGGACUGUGGUGCAACGAUCUGUCCUCCUCCGACUGCUGUCCUCAGCAAUCAGGCCACCACACCUUCUUACCUCUGCCCUAGGCCUGGAACAGCUGAGGAACCUGAGGCACCUGGAUGUGGCCUAUAACCUUCUAGAAGGUCACACUGAGUUGUCACCACUGUGGCUGCUGGCUGAGCUCCGUAAGCUCUAUCUGGAAGGUAACCCUUUGUGGUUCCACCCUGCACACCGUGCAAACACUGCUCAGUACUUGUCACCUCAGGCCAGAGACGCUGCUCAUGGUUUCUUGCUUGAUGGUGAGGUUUUGUCACUGAAGGAUCUUCAGCAGACUGCAGAAUCCUCAGGGCUUGGUCCCAUGGCCCAACCUCCGUCCUGGCCAGUGGGGAGUACCACUGAAACCUCAGGUGGCCCUGAGUUGAGUGAUAGCCUCUCCUCAGGGGGUAUUGUGGCCCAGGCCCCACUGCGUAAAGUUAAGGUAAGUGACUGUUUGUGCCUGGGCUUGGGUGAUCUCUUUACUGCUUUGUAGGUACUUGGUAGGCUAGCAGCAGUAAGGCCUUGUCCUUGUUAUUACUUGGCUCUUUCCAGUAGGUUAGGUAGGUGGCCAUGGAUGGCCAGGCUAAAGGCUCUGGCUUUCAUAGAACUCCAAUCUGUCUGUCCAAACUAGAGCCGAGUCCGUGUGAGGCGGGCUAGCAUCUCUGAGCCCAGUGACACAGACCCGGAGCUCCGAACUCUGGAUCCCUCCCCAGCUGGUAAGUUGACCCUCCCUGCUUACUCCCUUCCCACCUCCCUUCCAGUCUCUCUAAUCUUGAUGUUGCCUUGUAGGUGUCAUAGGAGAACUUGAUUUUGGGGUGGUAUGAAUUAUUGUGGAGGGCCCUUCAAUCCUUUUAUCUUUUUAGUUUAAAAAGGAGGGCCUGCUUCCAGGCAGCAUUCCCCUAAGGAACACAGAUUUCAUAGGGUGCUAAAGAUUGUAUAAUAAAGAGAUUUCAU
rnacentral:lncRNA from 1 species